rnacentral:rRNA from 1 species
AGCGAACGCUGGCGGCAGGCUUAACACAUGCAAGUCGAGCGGGCCCUUCGGGGUCAGCGGCAGACGGGUGAGUAACACGUGGGAACGUACCCUUUGGUUCGGAAUAACGCUGGGAAACUAGCGCUAAUACCGGAUACGCCCUUUUGGGGAAAGGCUUGCUGCCGAAGGAUCGGCCCGCGUCUGAUUAGCUAGUUGGUGGGGUAAUGGCCUACCAAGGCGACGAUCAGUAGCUGGUCUGAGAGGAUGAUCAGCCACACUGGGACUGAGACACGGCCCAGACUCCUACGGGAGGCAGCAGUGGGGAAUAUUGGACAAUGGGCGCAAGCCUGAUCCAGCCAUGCCGCGUGAGUGAUGAAGGCCUUAGGGUUGUAAAGCUCUUUUGUCCGGGACGAUAAUGACGGUAACGGAAGAAUAAGCCCCGGCUAACUUCGUG